rnacentral:rRNA from 1 species
AUUGAACGCUGGCGGCAGGCUUAACACAUGCAAGUCGAGCGGGGUGAUGGUGCUUGCACUAUCACUUAGCGGCGGACGGGUGAGUAAUGUUUAGGAAUCUGCCUAUUAGUGGGGGACGACAUCUCGAAAGGGAUGCUAAUACCGCAUACGUCCUACGGGAGAAAGCAGGGGAUCACUUGUGACCUUGCGCUAAUAGAUGAGCCCAAGUCGGAUUAGCUAGUGGGUGGGGUAAAGGCCUACCAAGGCGACGAUCUGUAGCGGGUCCGAGAGGAUGAUCCGCCACACUGGGACUGAGACACGGCCCAGACUCCUACGGGAGGCAGCAGUGGGGAAUAUUGGACAAUGGGGGGAACCCUGAUCCAGCCAUGCCGCGUGUGUGAAGAAGGCCUUAUGGUUGUAAAGCACUUUAAGCGAGGAGGAGGCUCUUUUGGUUAAUACCCAAGAUGAGUGGACGUUACUCGCAGAAUAAGCACCGGCUAACUCUGUGCCAGCCGCCGCUGUAA